rnacentral:rRNA from 1 species
CGGCAACAGCUCAAAUUUGAAAUCUGGCCCUCUCGGGGGCCCGAGUUGUAAUUUGCAGAGGGUGCUUUGGCGUCGGCAGCGGUCUAAGUUCCUUGGAACAGGACGUCACAGAGGGUGAGAAUCCCGUAUAUGAUCGCCUACCUUCGCCGUGUAAAGCCCCUUCGAC